GCGCUCGUAGCUCAGCUGGAUAGAGUACUGCCCUCCGAAGGCAGGGGUCACAGGUUCGAAUCCUGUCGAGCGCGCCA
rnacentral:tRNA from 1 species